rnacentral:rRNA from 1 species
ACGAACGCUGGCGGCGUGCCUAACGCAUGCAAGUCGAGCGGGGAUGGUAGCUGAAGGUGAUGAUGUGGAAGCUGCCAUCUUAGCGACGGACGGGUGAGUAACACGUGAGCAACCUACCCUCAGCACGGGGAUAACAGCUCGAAAGGGCUGCUAAUACCCGAUGGGACCGCGUCAUUGCCUGGUGAUGUGGUGAAAGGGUGGACGUAACGUCCAUGCCGGCUGGGGAUGGGCUCGCGGCCCAUCACCUAGUUGGUGAGGUAACGGCCUACCGAGGCGACGACCGGUAGCCGGCCUGAUAAGGUGACCGGCCACCUUGGGACUGAGACACGGCCCACACUCCUACCGGAGGCAGCAGCGGGGAAUCUUGCGCACUGGGCGAAAGCCUGACGCAGCGACGCCGCGUGAGGGAAGGAGCCCUUUGGGGUGUAAACCUCUUUGGACGGAGAGAAGUAGGAGAUAGUACCCGUUUAAAAAACCACGGGUAAAUACGUGCCAGCACCCGCGGUAAUAUGUAGGUGGCGAGCGUUGUCUCGAAUUAUUGGGGGUAAAGGGUGCGUAGGCGGCGUGCUAAGUUGAGCGUGAAAUUUUUGGGCUCAACCCAAAAGGAGCGUUCAAGAAUGCCAGGAUUGAGUGCGGGAGAGGACGAAGGAAUUCCCGGUGUAGCGGUGAAAUGCGUAGAUAUAUGGAGGAACACCAGUGGCGAAGGCGGCCGUUUGGACCGUAAAUGACGCUGAGGCACGAAAGCGUGGGGAGCAAACACGAUUAGAUACCCUGGUAGUCCACGCUGUAAACGAUAGAUGUUAGGUGUGGGGGAGAAGAACUCUUCCGUGCCGUAGUAAC